rnacentral:rRNA from 1 species
AGAGUUUGAUCCUGGCUCAGGAUGAACGCUGGCGGCGUGCCUAACACAUGCAAGUCGAGCGAAGCAGGUUUCAUGAAGUUUUCGGAUGGAUUGAGACCUGACUGAGCGGCGGACGGGUGAGUAACGCGUGGGUAACCUGCCUUAUACAGGGGGAUAACAGUUAGAAAUGACUGCUAAUACCGCAUAAGCGCACAGCUCCGCAUGGAGCAGUGUGAAAAACUGAGGUGGUAUAAGAUGGACCCGCGUCUGAUUAGCUAGUUGGUGGGGUAACGGCCUACCAAGGCGACGAUCAGUAGCCGACCUGAGAGGGUGAUCGGCCACAUUGGGACUGAGACACGGCCCAAACUCCUACGGGAGGCAGCAGUGGGGAAUAUUGCACAAUGGGGGAAACCCUGAUGCAGCGACGCCGCGUGAGUGAAGAAGUAUUUCGGUAUGUAAAGCUCUAUCAGCAGGGAAGAAAAUGACGGUACCUGACUAAGAAGCCCCGGCUAACUACGUGCCAGCAGCCGCGGUAAUACGUAGGGGGCAAGCGUUAUCCGGAUUUACUGGGUGUAAAGGGAGCGUAGACGGACGGGCAAGUCUGAUGUGAAAGGCAGGGGCUCAACCCCUGGACUGCAUUGGAAACUGUUCAUCUUGAGUGCCGGAGAGGUAAGCGGAAUUCCUAGUGUAGCGGUGAAAUGCGUAGAUAUUAGGAGGAACACCAGUGGCGAAGGCGGCUUACUGGACGGUAACUGACGUUGAGGCUCGAAAGCGUGGGGAGCAAACAGGAUUAGAUACCCUGGUAGUCCACGCCGUAAACGAUGAA